rnacentral:rRNA from 1 species
UACGGAGGGAGCUAGCGUUUUUCGGAUUUACUGGGCGUAAAGAGCGCGUAGGCGGUCAAUUAAGUUGAAAGUGAAAUCCCAAAGCUUAACUUUGGAACUGCUUUCAAAACUGAUUGACUAGAGUGUGAUAGGGGAUGGUGGAAUUCCUAGUGUAGAGGUGAAAUUCUUAGAUAUUAGGAGGAACACCGGGGGCGAAGGCGACCAUCUGGAUCACUACUGACGCUAAGGUGCGAAAGCGUGGGGAGCAAACAGG